UUGUACUGUUUAAAGCAAUCACUCGAUUUAGGGUUAUGGAUUGUAAAUUCACGGAUUAGAAUGAAUAAUUUUUAUAUGUUUAUUGAUGAGAAUUACUCCUCUUUAAAUAGAUUACAGGGGAAUAAAUCAAAUCCCACAAAAUCAGAGCUAUAACAGCUAGAAAUCUAAUUCUAAGGAAACAAAUCAGUAAACCUAUUUAAGGAAAUAAAUCUUGCCAAAUAACAUAGAUCCUAAUAUAUACAAUUCUAAUUAUGUAUAAUUUUGAUUUCAUAGAUGUAGGCACAUAUUCAAGCUUGAUAAUGUUUCCAUCAAGCUUUUCUUUAAUAAAAUGUCGAUCAACCUCCACGUGUUUAGUCCUAUCAUGAUGAACAGGAUUGUGAGCUAUACUAAUUGCUGACUUAUUAUCACAAUAGAGCAGCAUAGGUUCUUCAAAUCCAAUCUUUAAUUCCUUCAGCACCCUUCUUAUCCAGAUAAGCUCACACACUCCAUGUGCCAUAGCUCUAAACUCGGCUUCUGCACUACUUCUAGCAACCACUGACUGUUUUUUGCUACGCCAAGUCACUAGAUUUCCCCAUAGCAGCGUGCAAUAACCAGAUGUUGAUUUACGAUCAUUAAUUGAUCCAGCCCAAUCAGCAUCUGUGAAUGCUUUCACCUUUCGAUCAUUAGUCUUUGCGAAAAACAAGCCUUUUCCGGGUGUUCGCUUCAAGUAUCUCAGGAUUCUAUAUACUGCAUUCAAAUGACCUUGACAUGGUGCGUGCAUAUGUUGACUUACUAAACUCACUGCAAAGGCAAUAUCCGGUCGUGUAUGUGAGAGAUAGAUAAGCUUUCCAACUAGGCGUUGAUACUGUCCUUUAUCGACCAGCCCUCUUUCAAGCAUUUUUCCUUUGUUGCCAAGUUCAACUGGAGUCUUACUCGGCUUGCAUCCCAGCAUGCCAGUUUCUUCCAACAAAUCUAAAGUAUAUUUUCUUUGAGAGACAGAGAUCCCCUUCUUACUCCUUGCAACUUCCAUUCCAAGAAAGUAUCUUAACGCUCCAAGGUCUUUAACUUCAAAUUCCUUUGCCAUCAUUUGCUUGACUCUUUCUACUUCUUUGUUAUCAUUUCCAGUGACAAUGAUAUCAUCAACAUACACUAUAAGAAUAUUAAUUUUUUCAUUUUCAACAUGCUUAACAAACAACGUGUGAUCAGCUUGUCCCUGGACAUAGCCAAAUUCCUUGAUAACUUUGGAGAAUCUGUCGAACCAAGCCCGUGGAGACUGCUUCAGACCAUAGAGGGACUUGUUGAGUUUACAAACAAUGUGACUCCCUAGGUUUUCUUCAAAUCCUGGAGGUUGACACUUAAAAACUUCCUCUGCAAGCUCACCAUUUACAAAGGCAUUUUUUAUAUCAAGUUGAUGUAGAGGCCAAUCAGAGUUUACAGCCAAAGAUAGAAGAAUUCUGAUAGUGUUGAGUUUGGCAACAGGAGCAAAGGUCUCAGUGUAGUCAAUCCCGUACGUUUGAGUAAAGCCCUUGGCCACUAGACGCGCUUUGUGUCUUUCAAUUGAACCAUCAGCCUUAUACUUGACAGUGAAUACCCAUUUACAACCCACUGUAUUUUUUUCUUGUGGCAACUCUACCAGGCUCCAUGUAUUGUUCUGUCUAAGGGCGUGCAUUUCUUCAAGAACAGCAGCUUUCCACUCGGGAAUAGAUAGGGCCUCUUCAAUGGAUCUAGGAAUCAAAACACUAGACAAACUCGAGGUGAAAGCAUGGAGUGAAGGAGACAGAUUUGAGUAAGAUAUGAAUUUAGAAAUGGGGUGAUGAGUGCAAGAUCUAACACCUUUUCUUAAUGCUAUUGGCAUAUCUAGAUCAGGAAUAGGACUGAAUUUACCUGACUCGUUUGGUGAAUGAGACUCUACCAUCGGUUCAUCCUCGUGACUGUGAGUAGGAUUCAUGAUUUCUUUAUUUGCUUGAGACUUUUUCUUUCUAGAGUAGACUUGCAAUUCUGGUUGUUUAGAUAUUGAAAGUGUUGAAUCUCCUCUUGUUUCCAAUACUGGUGAAAUUGGAUCAAUUACAGGAGGACUGAUUUUAGUUGACUCAGGAAUAGAGACGGCUGUAUCCAACUUAACAUCAAGUAAGGGCAGGUCAUGGAUAUCCCAAGAACAGCAAGCUUCAUCCCAUUUCUCCCCCUGAAGCGAAGUUGGAGAAAAAUAUGGUGUAUUUUCAAAGAAUGUGACAUCACAAGAAAUAUAUGUUUUUUUAGUUUGUGGACAGUAACACCGAUAUCCUUUUUGGGUUGGAGAAUAGCCAAUGAAAACAGUUUUGAUGGCUCGAGGGUCAAGUUUACUUCUAUUAUGGUCAUGAAUAUGGACAAAUGCUGUGCAACCAAAAAUUCUUAAUGGAAGUGUAUUAGACUUAGAGACAUGUGGGUAGGUUUUUGAAAGAACAGACAAAGGGGUUUCAAAAUUGAUAGGACGACUUGGCAUACGAUUUAUGAGGUAGGUAGCAGUGAGGAUAGCAUCCCCCCACAAGUACUUUGGGAUAUGCAUGGUAAACAUGAGAGCCCGAGCUACCUCUAACAAAUGACGAUUUUUUCUUUCCAAUACUCCAUUUUGUUGUGGAGUAUCAACACAAGAGCUUUGAUGUUGAAUUCCAUUUUCUAACAAAUAAUCACCAAGAAUGGAAUUGAAAUAUUCUUUUCCAUUGUCAGUUCUUAGAACACGAAUUUGGCUUUGAAAUUGAGUUUGAAUCAUUUUGUGAAAAACUUUGAAUAUGUGACUGGCUUCAGAUUUGUUAUGUAGGAGAUAAACCCAUGUAACCCGUGUGUGAUCGUCUAUAAAUGUAAGAAACCAUCUUUUCCCAUGGCAAGUUGUAAUUUUUGAAGGUCCCCAUAUGUCACUGUGGAUCAAAGAGAAUGGAGUGGAAGGAAUGUAAACCUUUGGAGAAAAAGACAUGCGAGUAUGUUUAGCUAAUUGACAAAUUUCACACUCAAAAGAAACAGUAUUUUUAUUAUCAAACAAAGACGGAAAUAGACGUUUUAGAUAUAAAAAACUAGGAUGGCCAAACCUAUGAUGCCAUAACAUUAUUUCAUUAGUACUAGAAACAGAUGUAGAAGCAACACCAGACAAAAAAAUUUGUUGACUCUUUGGGUGAUCAUCAUUAAAGUAAUAAAGACCAUCAUGAAUCCUAGCACUGCCAAUCGUCUUCCCCGAUGAUAGGUCCUGAAAUUGACAAGAAGAAGACAAGAAAUUAGCAACGCAAUGAUUGUCACGUGUGAUUUUGCUAACAGAGAUCAGGUUGCAUUUUAGGGCAGGGACGUGGAAGACAGAUUUGAGGAUUAAAUUUGGAGAUAGUUUUAUGUCACCAAUUCCAACUACUAGUGUAAAAGAUCCAUCAGCAAUUUUAACAGUGAUAUGUUUAGAACAAGGGACAUAAGAGUGAAAACAAUUAGAGCUACCUGUCAUAUGAUCAGAGGCCCCGGAAUCAAUUAUCCAAGGGUCUGUAGAUUGAAUCAUUGAUUGGGAAUUUAGGACAGAGUAGAGUUUACCAGAUUUGGCAACAGAACAUGAUCCACUGGUGGAGUUUGCAUAGUUGGGUGGAUGGGUCUGAGAGGCAUUGACAGAAGAUAAAUUGAGAAGUUUGCAUAGUUGGUCAAUUUGUUCCUUGCUGAACGGAAUAGAUGCACCAGAGUGGUCUUGAUUGGAUUGGGUAUGGUGUGCACGUCCGUCAUUUUUUUUUCGAGGCUGCCAAUUUGCUGGUUUCCCAUGAAUCUCCCAACACUUGUCCCGAGUAUGUCCAGGUCGAUUAUAAUGAUCACAUCAUGGUCGCUUGUUCGAACGAUGAUCAGGAUGCUGCUGUCCAUUUGAGUGAGUUUUAGUAGUCAUUAAGGCUGAUACUUCUGGUGCGGAUGGAGGUACAGAUUUGUCAUCCGAGAGCAUCACCUUUCGCCUAGCUUCCUCACGUCGUACUUCUGCGAAGGCUUCGUCAGUAGAAGGGAAAGGCUUUUGAGCCAUCACUCGGCCCCGUACCUCAUCUAGAUUUCUAUUAAGACCAGCAAGGAAAUCAAAUACUCUUUCUUUUUCAAGGUUAUGCUUUUGCUUGACACUGCACUCAGCACAAAAUGAGUCAUCUUCAAAAAACAGAUCUAAUUCUUGCCUAAAUAAAUUCAUCUGCUGUACCGUACAUCCGCCUUGGCCGUACAGCAGAACAAUUAGAGCUACCUGUCAUAUGAUCAGAGGCCCCGGAAUCAAUUAUCCAAGGGUCUGUAGAUUGAAUCAUUGAUUGGGAAUUUAGGACAGAGUAGAGUUUACCAGAUUUGGCAACAGAACAUGAUCCACUGGUGGAGUUUGCAUAGUUGGGUGGAUGGGUCUGAGAGGCAUUGACAGAAGAUAAAUUGAGGAGUUUGCAUAGUUGGUCAAUUUGUUCCUUGCUGAACGGAAUAGAUGCACCAGAGUGGUCUUGAUUGGAUUGGGUAUGGUGUGCACGUCCUUCAUUUUUUUUUCGAGGCUGCCAAUUUGCUGGUUUCCCAUGAAUCUCCCAACACUUGUCCCGAGUAUGUCCAGGUCGAUUAUAAUGAUCACAUCAUGGUCGCUUGUUCGAACGAUGAUCAGGAUGCUGCUAUCCAUUUGAGUGAGUUUUAGUAGUCAUUAAGGCUGAUACUUCUGGUGCGGCUGGAGGUACAGAUUUGUCAUCCGAGAGCAUCACCUUUUUAAGUCUUAAAAUCCAAUUGUGGGUUAGUUACUUUGGCUUGUAAGUCUUAAAAUCCAAUUGUGGGUUAGUUACUUUGGCUUGGGUGAUUGGCAUGUAAAAUUUAUUUUCCAGUGCUAGAUUUCUGUCAUUUUUUCUCACAUUUUAAACAAACUUACUCAUAAUUGACCUUAAAAAUCCUUUUUCAGGUAUCAAGUGAGGAAGCUAUUGAAACUAGUAAGCUGCUUGCCCUGAAGGAAGGUUUGCUGGUGUGUUUGUGAUUUAAAUAUUGCUUUUAGUUCUUACGCUCCAUCUUUUGCGUUCUAUAAUUUCUGUCCCAGAUUUUGUCCCUUAGGUUGCUAACUGUUGGACAAUUUUUUGGCAGGUUGGAAUAUCUUCUGGUGCAGCAGCAGCUGCUGCCAUACGAGUAGCAAAGAGGCCAGAAAACGCUGGGAAACUCAUUGUUGUAAGUUAGAUUUUCUUUGCUUCAUAUAUAAACUGUACUCCACAGAGUGUAAUUUGUUUUUAACUACGUAAUUUGUACUAAACUAUAUUAACCAUGCCAUUUCUACGGCUUCCUUUGCAGGUGAUUUUCCCCAGUGCUGGAGAGUGUAAAUUCACAGAUUAGAAUGAAUAAUUUCUGUAUUUUAUUGAUGAGAAUUACUCCUCUUUAAAUAGAUUACAGGGGAAUAAAUCAAAUCCCACAAAAUCAGAGCUAUAACAGCUAGAAAUCUAAUUCUAAGGAAACAAAUCAGUAAACCUAUUUAAGGAAAUAAAUCUUGCCAAAUAACAUAGAUCCUAAUAUAUACAAUUCUAAUUAUGUAUAAUUCUGAUUUCAUCCACAUGGAUAAUAAUCUCAGUUGGUGAGUAAUAUGAUGUCUCAUUUAACUUAUAUGUGACUGACCUAAUUUCUCCUGAGGGUUCAACUAGUUUCCUUUUUCUUCAAUUUGGAAACUUGAUGCUCUCAUAUAUUAUUUCUUUUAUUUGAUGUUGG
rnacentral:lncRNA from 1 species